UACGGGGGGAGCAAGCGUUGUUCGGAUUUACUGGGCGUAAAGGGCGCGUAGGCGGCCACCGCAAGUCGACUGUGGAAAUCUCCGGGCUUAACCCGGAAAGGUCAGCCGAUACUGCGGGGCUAGAGUGCAGAAGGGGCAACUGGAAUUCUCGGUGUAGCGGUGAAAUGCGUAGAUAUCGAGAGGAACACCUGCGGCGAAGGCGGCCUGCUGGGCAGUAGCUGACGCUGAGGCGCGACAGCGUGGGGAGCAAACAGG
rnacentral:rRNA from 1 species